rnacentral:rRNA from 1 species
GAGGCAGCAGUGAGGAAUAUUGGUCAAUGGACGAGAGUCUGAACCAGCCAAGUAGCGUGAAGGAUGACUGCCUAUGGGUUGUAAACUUCUUUUAUACGGGAAUAAGUGAGGCACGUAUGCCUUUUUGUAUGUACCGUAUGAAUAAGGAUCGGCUAACUCCGUGCCAGCAGCCGCGGUAAUACGGAGGAUCCGAGCGUUAUCCGGAUUUAUUGGGUUUAAAGGGAGCGUAGGCGGACGCUUAAGUCAGUUGUGAAAGUUUGCGGCUCAACCGUAAAAUUGCAGUUGAUACUGGGUGUCUUGAGUACAGUAGAGGCAGGCGGAAUUCGUGGUGUAGCGGUGAAAUGC